rnacentral:sRNA from 1 species
AUAAAACUGGCUUAUUGGGAAUAUAUAGCGUAUCCUGUGUGUCAGUGGCAGUUUUUUCUAGCGGUUUCGGUUGCACCUCUCGAUACAUUCGGCAGCACCUCCGUAAUUUCUCAGCAAUAAUCUGCAUGCUAAUACAUUAUUUAUUCAUUAUUUAUAGAGGAAAUCGAAAUGGCUACAGGCACAGUUAAGUGGUUUAACGAUAGCAAGGGCUUUGGAUUCAUUACCCCGUCUGACGGCAGCAGUGACGUAUUCGUACAUCACAACGCCAUCCAGGCCAGUGGAUUCAAAUCCCUGGCAGAAGGUCAGAAGGUGACUUAUGAAACCGAGCGCGGCCCCAAGGGGCUGAAUGCGAAGAACGUCGUCCAGCAGCAAUAACCCCGCCAGAUAAUCUUAUCUGGAAUGGAAGCCCCGCCCCAAAGCGGGGCUUUUUUA